rnacentral:tRNA from 1 species
GGGAAUGUGGCUUAGUGGUAAAGUGCUUGCAUCACAUGCAUGAAGCCCUGGGUUUGAUUCCUCAGUACCG